rnacentral:rRNA from 1 species
UACGGGAGGCAGCAGUGAGGAAUAUUGGUCAAUGGGCGAGAGCCUGAACCAGCCAAGUAGCGUGCAGGAUGACUGCCCUAUGGGUUGUAAACUGCUUUUAUGCGGGGAUAAAGUGGCGCACGUGUGCGUUUUUGCAGGUACCGCAUGAAUAAGGACCGGCUAAUUCCGUGCCAGCAGCCGCGGUAAU